CGGGCCCAGCGGGCGGCGCAGGCCCGCGCCGAGCUCCCUGCGUUUGGAUUGACUUCUUACCAUUUUGAUAUUUACAUCCUUUUCCAGCCUCCUGGAGACCUGUAGGCAGAAGGUCAUUGCGGUUACUAACACAAAGUCAAAAUCUACCGGUACCAUACGGAUAGUAUAUCCCAAGGUCUUUUGCUGCCAGUCAAAUUAAAAUGGAUUCUCCCUUAGAUAUCCAAAACAGAUAACAAAUUAAAAAUCUGGGAAGGCACAUCUGAAAAAUAGCAUAGGUAAACAUCAGCCUUUGCUCUGCAGGAACGCUGCUCUGUUUUCAAAUGGCGAGAAUUUUGAACACAAGCUGCGGGUAAAACACAUUCUGGAUGCUAUGCUAAUGGUUGUUACCGUCCUUGGCUUGGCAGAACAUUAACAAUCUCAGUUAAACCACUUUAAGUGAAGCUUUCCCUGAAAUUAGGACACUGUGAUUUGGACUGGCGACGUUCCAGCAGUGUGCAGCAUGGUGAUAGCUAGAGCAAGCGAGCUGCGGUGAGCAGCUGCUCUGCCGCAGAGAUGCUCGCCUCACUCCCCGUUCACUUUCCAGGAAUGUCCAGACAGCAAAGACCAACAAAACUUACACACGGACCCAUGUGGCUUGAUACCUUCUGAAGGUGUUCCUAAUGGAUCUUCCAAACUGAUGGUUUAAGUAUCAUGGUGUUUGGUACUGUAAAAAUAUCUGGAUUUCCAGAGUGCAAUCACUCUUUUACAUGUUCUCAACUUGAAGUCGUGACUCCUGCAGGUGUUAUGGGGUCAGAAAAAACAAUCCUAAUCUCAUUUUCCUGAGAAGAAGAAACAUUAUGGAUGGACAAAGAACUGAUCCCAGUGCUGCUCUUGCAUGGAAGAAAAAGCAGAAUUGACAAGCUAGGAAAAAAAAAAGCAGGAACAUUUUUCCGUAUUUAAAUAUAUUUCUCCUAUGUCACCCACCUGAAGUGAUUUUUUACUUUUAAAAUAAGGUGGGGGUUUUUGAUUUUCACUUAAAUUAAAACUUUUUUAUUGGCAGCUGGAGCCCCAGCUUAGAGGCUUAGAGGCCUCAGGUUCAUACACACAACAGCACUGGAUGUGACUGCAACAUCAGGAACUGUGGAGUGCAGUUAUUGAAUUUGCCUUCAUCAGAGGAAUUUAGAUAGUGAGGCUCUGGCUUGCAACUUCUUUAAUGAGGUUAAUGAGGCCAGCACAUUCUCAAACGGUUUCAGCUGCUUUAAAGUCAUCUUCCAGAUAUUUUGCCAAAAAAGCGUGCACUGAAACAAAAAGAUGUUAGAGCUGCAACUGUCAUUCAACUUACAACUGCAACUGGAAUUCAGCUUAAGAACAAGUAGGAAACAGAAGUGGUUUUUAAAAGAUGACUGCAGGGAUCUGUAAAGCAAAAGUGCAGGUAUACAGACAGUUAUUUUUUUCUUUUAUUUUUGUAGCAUGUAUUUCAUAUUAAAUACAUGAAAGAGGGAGAAUUGCAGAAUUUCUUUACCAUAACUCUUUAACACGUCAUAAAAGUUACAAAUAUGAGUUGCAAGCUUUUUAUUAACUAGUUAUGUUGCAAUGGUACCUAUAACCUACACCUAUAGCCAGUAUGCUUGCAGAAACUCAGGAGUUAUUUAAACUAAAUCAAUGAGGAUGUGAGUAUGAUGCAUUACUCUUCAGUAAUAUGAGUGCACCAAUACAGAUUUAUUUUUGCUGCUAAGGUGGAAAAUAGAAGGGUCUGGCCUAGCCUAGAGUUACUCUGUUAAAACAUGAAAGCUUUGAAUGCAUCCUGUGGCCUGAAAACAAUAUUCUGUGGGAAGAUUCCCUUGCUACUUGAUAAACAUUUUCUUCUCAAGGGUCAAAUAUGCAGUCUUGCAUAUACGUCCUUCAUCCAGUUUCACUGCAGUUUCACAAGCAGAAUCAAUAAGAUUUUUUUUUUUUUGUAAAUUGUGGUUUCACAGUACAGAAAUCUGGUUUGUUGAUACAAAUGUUCAUUCAGUGCUUAAUGGUUUUUAAAUUAGCUUAUAUAAUCACACAAAAAUUAUUUAUAUGAACAAGCCCAAGUGUAUUUGCAUAAACUUUAGAUAGAUGUGGCUACAGACAUUGUUGAACAUGAAUGCCAGGCUGGAAUUUUGAGAGCCUGAGGUACUGUCAAUGUUUUAAGACUAUCAAAUCCCAGUGGUAUUAAAUCACCAGGAAAAAAAAAAAUACACAGGAGCUUGUAAAAUGGGACAUUGGGCUAUUAUUCACAGGAGGGAGCUAAGAAAAAAAGUGACCUGAAGACCCUGUUUUAAGAAAAAAAAUUUCUGCAGUUUUCAAGAGACUCAUGAACUUUGUCUCAGAAUCCCAGCCAAAGCCAAAAUGUGCAUUUCAUUCUGCUGAAAGCAGGGAAGAAAUGUAUUUCAGUCUUAUCCAUUAUCAAAACUGAAAAACAAUGAUUUUAAGAGUCAAAAGUUUUUUUAAACUGAAUAAAAGGUUGUCUCCAAUUUUCAUUCAAGAAAAUAUAAAAGCACUACAUAAUACUGUACAAAACCUAUUCAGAAAUGAUUUGGACUAUUUUACAUGUAUGUGUAUGUUUCCCUCAAUUAAAACUUGGAAGUUCAUGACAUUCUUAUCAGUUCUGAUCUAGAGCAACUGAUAUGUUUUUCAGGCUGUUCUCAAAACUGUAGAAUUCCCUGACCCAUUUUCGGGUUAUAAAAAAUCCUUAUGUUUUUUUCCUCAGUUUUCUAAAAGCUUUUCUCAGAUUAAAAUCUAAGUCAGUCUGUCUGUCCUAAUGAGGCAUCCUAGUGACAUCACUGUGCACACACACACACAAACACAGUCUCUAGACUUACAUUUCUCCUCACUCUGGGUGGCCUGAAAACCUAAUAUUUUCAGAACUGAAAGGUGACUAGUGCACCACAACAGAAAGGUAUUUUGAGUUUCAACAAGCUUUUUCUUUUACAAAUUUCAAGCUUUUGUAUUAAAAAAAAAAAACUAGGAAUUCAUAUGCCAUUUAGCAGAAUAAUACAUGUUCUUUCAGUUCAGUGUCCCCUAAGUCACCUAAUGACACAGAUCUAUUUAUGAGGCACAUGGAUGUCAGGAUUUCCUGUCUUGACAGAGUCUUUGCAAGUUUUAUGAUCUCUGCCUUUCCCCCAACCCGCCCCCACAAUUUCAGUUUUGUGUGUUUUAUUUGCAUACUAAGAAUACACACAGAGCUUCCAUUCUUGCCCUGCUAGGCAGAUAUUGCUGUUAAAUUUGCAGUGAUUGUUUUCUAUGAUAUUGUCUGGUGGAGUUAAUUUCUUAUGUCUGGAAAAAACCCCAAAACACAACCUAGUUGAAUUACAGUAACUAUGACUCAUUGAUCUGAGACAUCUGUUGAUAACCCCUGAAGUCACUCUAUUUCAACACUGAAACAAUUCAUAACCCUCUCACGAAACAAACGGGAAACAUUAAUGGAUUAGUAACUUUUAUGUUCUGCCCUCCUGUGAUCUUUAGGCUCAAUAGAGAUGUAAGUGAACUGUAAAAAUAGGCAAGCAUUAGUUGUCUAGACGUCCUAGAUGUGGCCAUCCUCUCUGGUAGUUGCCCUGGGGUAGUCAUUAGAAAAUCUAUAUCCAAGCAGACUCAAGUUCCUUCCAAGGGGUGCUGUUGGCAAUACUUUCCAAAUUGAAUGCAAUAGGUGUAAAUGCAGCAGUGCAUUUUUCCUAACUGGUAUUUCUUGCCUAAAUAUUUAAAUGGCUUUUACUGAGACUGGACUUUCAGAAUGACAGGGGAUGAGUUUUGUGUACAAAUACUUUUUGUCACUUUUUGUAAUUUGCUUUCCAUUCUUUAUGUCAUGUCUAUAUGAACUCUUAAUUACAAUUUAUUGACAACUAGCAUAAAAAGGCAUUAUUUUUCUACUAUGACAUUACUUGAAAAUGUGCUUAUAUUAGCAAUUUUAAGCCUUGAUGAAACAAGUACAACAAUUAUGUAAGGAACAAAUAACACUACAGAAUUUUGCAAGCAAGCAGAUAGUUUAUGAUUGUACAGGACUAUUAUAACUGAAAAUGUACAGGCAAUAAUUUUGCAGGUUUUUGCUGCUGUAAAUCCUUCAGCUUUUUUUUUUUUUUCAUCUUUAUUAUUUCUGAGAAAUGGGGAGACAAAAGCUGUUCAGUGAAAUCCAUCACCAACAUAAAAUUAGAGUGAUGGAGGGUUUUGAGAUUUAUGCUGGUUUAAUAGAAAUCAGAUUCCUGCUCUAACAUUAGAGAAACACAUUUGGUUAAAAGUAAGAUAUGAUGGAAAAUUCUUUUCUGUCUGUUUUUUGAAAAGUCCCUAAUACCCUUCUAAAACUGUAAACCUGCAAUUAAUGCAAGCACAUAGAGUAAAAUAUUCAUGAUGUUAUCUUCUAGAUGAGCGCUUAAGCCCUGUACAGCUGUGUUGUGUGUGGAUAUUAAACUUCCCAUAACA